CAGCGGCAGGUCCUGCAUUGUUCGCUGCAGAGCUGCUGCACGGUGAGCUUUCUUAUCACACAGUUAAACCGCUUCGAAAAGAAAGAAAAAUGCCUCUGACGCGCUCCAAGAAGCUGGCUGCCCAGUCUCCAUCAACCAGGAUGAGCCUGAGGAGCUUCCGUAGUGUCCCGCUGGUCCCCAUGGAGACCUCGUCCUCUUCUUCUGAUGACAGCUGCGACAGCUUCGGUUCUGAUGGAGGUUUUGCGAAUACGAGGAGGAGCUUGAAACAGAYGAGGAGAACCGCACAGAAACCAAAGGUGUUCGAGGCAACGUCAGAGGAGGACACAUGCAGCGGGUUUGAGGAGAACGUGAUCAGCAAGCAGAUUAAAGCAAUGAAAGUCGGCAGUGAGGCUCCAAAACUUGGCCGCAGGUCAAAUGUCCUGAAAGUCGCCAUGGCGUUCCCCACCAAGAAGACGGGCAAGAAGAGACCUGCAUCUGAACCGCUGCCACAGCCUAAAGUGCAGGACUCUGAGGAAGAGGAAGAGGAGAACUUCAUGGCUAAAAGGGCUCUGAAUAUUAAGGAGAACAAAGAAAUGCUUGCAAAGCUCUUAGCAGAAUUGAACAAAGUGCCUGGACUCCUUCCAGGGAAACGGAUGGCAAAGUCAGCUUUGACCAUGCUGAGACAGGCGCCUCAGMGGUCACCUAGAAAACCGUGGGGUGUACGGCGAGCCCCCGAGCGGCUGCUCCCUCCCCGUACGCGGUCCCGCUCGCAAGUGGACGCACCUCYCAGCCCGCCUCCUGAGGAAGACACCGAGGAUAAGUUCAGCCUGGUUCGCAAAAACCCCGACUAYGAGGAAGAUGACGAACCUCCACGUCGCUUUUGCUGCAACAGGCAGCGGACCAUCCCUCAUGUGGUGCGGCCUGUGGAGGAAAUUACCGAGUUGGAGCUGCAGAGAAUCUGCAACAACGUCCGAGAGAAAGUCUACAACAGCUCCACUGGCUCCACCUGCCACCAGUGCCGCCAGAAGACGACCGAUACCAAAACCAACUGCCGUAAUCCAGAGUGCUUUGGGGUGAGAGGUCAGUUCUGCGGCCCGUGUCUCCGUAACCGAUACGGAGAGGAGGUUCGAGAUGCUCUUCUGAAUCCAGAGUGGUGGUGCCCGCCGUGCAGAGGGAUCUGUAACUGCAGCUUCUGUCGGGCCAGAGAAGGCCGCUGUGCCACUGGAGUGUUGGUCUACCUUGCUAAGUACCAUGGCUUUGAUAAUGUGCACGCCUACCUGAAAAGCUUGAAAAAGGAGCUGGAGGAAGAAAGCAGCAAGUAAAGAGUGGACGAGAAUCUGCUGCAGAUACCCCUGAAGACUGACGCUCUUCCUGAUCAGUUUAUAUUGCUCAGUGUUUGAAGCGUUGAAACUCUGAGUGCUAAUUAUUUCUGUUCAGGUUUUUGAUCAAAAGUUGUUCUCAGACUUAUAAAGUUAAAGAUUUUAAACCCUAGACURAGACUGUAAGCUAUUACUGAGCAAAAAAAAAAUUGCCCAGUACACCAUCUGGGCAAUGAAAUAGUCCUGUGAUGUUAGCAUUGCCUUUGGACUGAUCCACUUGUACUGUACAUUGUUUUAAAUGUAUUUUUUUUUUAUGCUGUUAAAUCUAAUUAGCCCUUUCCUUUGCUUCACAUUAAUGCUUGUGUUUUUACAAGUUGCGCUUGUAGUUGCUUGCUGAAAUGAAAGAAAGYCUUCCAGCCUGUUGUGUUCUAGAAAUGGCCCAGUGAUCCUCCUGCUGUAGGUUGAAAAAAGGGCAUAUAGAGCGAGGUCCACUGCCUUCCUCCUCUAAACCGUGAGGAGCUGUGAUAAACUGCAGCGCCUGGUUAAAUAUCCUUCAUUAGAUAACUGUCACUAAUGGUGUGGAAACAAUUAGCACACUCUAAUGGGAAUCUCAUACCUGUAAAUCACUUUCCCCUGUUAAAGCACGUUCUCGCUCUGCACCAGCCUCCGUGGCUCAUUUUCUGCYGUWMRAUUGUUGAGCAGAAAUGGCCGAAGGUGCCACUGAAGUGGCAGCAGAGUUAUAGCCUGCGUUUUCUGCUCACAGCUCUGAUCCUCUAAAUGAAAUGACAUAAAAUUAACCUUUGGUGCUGUUCAUUGUUGAAAUGUACUUGGUUUGACCUGUGGUUGAGGAUACUUCAUCGUACGAUGCUGUUGCAAAAAAUGUGAUUGGUUAGAUUUUUUUUUUUUUUAUCUUUUGCUGUAAUUGCAGGUGGAGGUUGUUAUACUGCUGGUUCUAUGUGCUAAACACAAAGGAAAUGUGAUUCGGGUUCAUUGUGUUUUAUGUACAUGUUCAAUAAAGCGUUAAUCGGUGCAGAAUCA